GUCACAUGUCCCCAGUCUAGGUUGCCCAUCCGCGUCCGAGUCAUCUUCCUCCCCAGUUUUUACUUCUUGAUUUAUUGUUUUUCUGAACAUAUGUGUGCAGAUCUAAGAAAAAAGAGAAGGGGAUGAAUCUGGAGGAAGAGCUUGGUGAAGAACAAGGUGAUCUCUCUCUCUCCAUCUCUCUGAAUUUAAGUCCACUUUCAUCUUUUUCAUUGCUACUAUUUCUCGUGGGAUAUUCAGGAGUUGAGAACACAUAUUUUGUAGGUGUUCGUAAUGGCAACAGUGGUAAUCAACAAUGAGAAAAAAGGACCGAGAUUGGAUUUGUACUAGGUAUGUUCCUCGUCUCUCUCAGUCCUUGUUCCAAUCCCCACCCUGAUGUAACUGUUUCUUCACAACUGUUGGAUGUGUCUUAGGAGAUGAAUGUCAUGGAUUGUUUAGAUUCUUGUUGAGCUAACCACUACUUAAACUAUUUGUCCCCUUGUUAAAGCUAAUCAUAGUAAUAGUUGGUGAUCGUCCGGCUGCUGUGUAUAGUGGCAACCAAAUUCAUGAUGAUGAGCUGAAUCAAACCCGUAGUAAAGUUAGUGUUAAAUCACACAUGUGUAUAGUCAAGUUCAGUACACUCAGGCAGUUUUGUCAGGUUGUAGAUUUAGUAUGACAAGAAAAUUACUUGAAAGAAAUAGGUACAGCCACUAUGAUAAAUAUCAGUAGUAUGCAUUGUAUAUGUAUGCUCAGUCAUGUUCAACUCAGUAUUUUUACCCUAUGUGUUACAGCAGGUGAUGCCUUAAUUUAGUUCAUGGCAUUAUGGCGGGACGCAUGUGGUAAUUGGUUACAAUGGUGGCUCAUGGAGUUAAAAUUUUGUGUUCUGUACAGAUUUGAGAUGAUAGAAAUUCAAAAUAGGUAAACCAAUAAGCCAUGUUUUUCUUUGGUGUUGCAGUUGUCAUGUGUCACAUAGUUAUAUAUGUGUGUUCAUAAUUAUAACUGCACUUUGUCUCUCUCUUUGCAAGUGUGAUACAUGCAUGUUCAUAAUUAUAUUUUAGUCCUAAUUUUCAGAUCAUGACCACAUCUUGUGGAGUUUCAAAAUCUAAUAUCUCUAAUUUCCGCAUCAAGCUAAGUG
rnacentral:lncRNA from 1 species